rnacentral:rRNA from 1 species
UACGUAGGGUGCAAGCGUUAAUCGGAAUUACUGGGCGUAAAGGGAGCGUAGGCGGGAUCGUAAGUUAGGAGUUUAAUGCAUGGGCUUAACCCAUGAUCUGCUUUUAAUACUGCGGUUCUUGAGUAUGGGAGAGGGCGAUGGAAUUCCAGGUGUAGCGGUGGAAUGCGUAGAUAUCUGGAAGAACACCAGUAGCGAAGGCGGUCGCCUGGCCCAAUACUGACGCUGAUGCUCGAAAGCUAGGGGAGCAAACAGG